AAGGAUAUCUCUCAAAUCUGAAUGUUGGCUCAAAUCUAAGUUUAUGUCAACUCCAACAUUCAGAUUUGAGCAACCAUUUUAACACCCUCAUAUAAAAAGGGAAAGUGGAAGACGUCCUCUAGGGAGGCCACUAAACCUGCGACCAAAGACAAGCCAAGCUUCUCUCUUCUCUGGUUCGAUACCCUCUCAUCGAGAGUCUAUCGCCAAUGACUUUGUAGCCCACCCCACUACUGAUCUCAUAUGUUCGUUCAUGGAUAUGUAGUAGUGGCGAUCGAAGUGCUUGGAUCUGCCUCCACUAAACCCUAGAUUCUGUCUCUGGUUCGCCUGCCAUGCUAUCAACGAUGUUUUCUACAACCCACUGGCAACUAUGAAAAUUUUGAUUUGGUAUGGAAAUUAUGGUCUGAAGAAGAAAGGUUGAACUUGGUGGAUCCCCUUUCAAUGGAGUCAUGCAGUAGCAAUGAACUAAUGAAAUGCAUACAAAUUCGAUUAUUAUGUGUCCAAGCUAAAACAAUACAUAGACCAACCAUGUCAUCUGUUUUUGUGAUGUUGAGAAGUGAGAAUGGGGAUCUUCCUCAGCCUCUGCAACCUGCUUUUUCUAUUGAGAGAAUUGCUAUUCAACCUGAGCAAUUUAUUGAUGGUUGAUGAUAUUCUAUCAAUGGGUUGACUAUAUCCAGUAUUGUAGCUCAAUGAGAGAUGAAUGGUUGAAGACUUGGGAACUGAUAUUUAGGGAUAUUUUCUGUGUAAUGGUUAGAUAGAGUUGUAAUCAUCUAAUGGUCAUGCCGAAGGUGGAUGAGUAGCCAAAUUUUGGUGGUUAUUGUUGGUGUUUGGUUUAUUAUUCUUUUGUUCUGUUUUAAUAAUAAAAAAAAUUUCUCCA